rnacentral:rRNA from 1 species
AUACGGAGGGUGCGAGCGUUAAUCGGAAUUACUGGGCGUAAAGGGCUCGUAGGUGGUCGAAAAAGUCGGAUGUGAAAGCCCUGGGCUUAACCUAGGAACUGCAUUCGAAACUUUUUGGCUAGAGUAUGGUAGAGGGAAGUGGAAUUUCCGGUGUAGCAGUGAAAUGCGUAGAUAUCGGAAGGAACACCAGUGGCGAAGGCGGCUUCCUGGACCAAUACUGACACUGAGGAGCGAAAGCGUGGGGAGCGAACAGGAUUAGAAACCCGGGUAGUCC